CCUACGGGGGGCAGCAGUGGGGAAUAUUGCACAAUGGGGGGAACCCUGAUGCAGCGACGCCGCGUGAGUGAUGAAGGUUUUCGGUUUGUAAAGCUCUAUUAGCAGGGAAGAAAAUGACGGUACCUGACUAAGAAGCACCGGCUAACUCCGUGCCAGCAGCCGCGGUAAUACGUAGGGGGCAAGCGUUACCCGGAUGUACUGGGUGUAAAGGGAGCGUAGGCGGUGUAGCAAGUCAGAUGUGAAAGGCCGGGGCUUAACCAGUGGACUGCAUUGGAAACUGUUAGACUAGAGUACAGGAGAGGUAAGUGGAAUUCCUGGUGUAGGGGUGAAAUGCGUAGAGAUCAGGAGGAACACCAAUGGCGAAGGCGGGUUACUGGACUGUAACUGACGCUGAGGCGCGAAAGCGUGGGGAGCAAACAGGAUUAGAUACCCGUGUAGUC
rnacentral:rRNA from 1 species